rnacentral:rRNA from 1 species
CAAUCCACGUGAACCGUAUCAACCCCCCUUAAUUGGGGCUUCCCUGCUGUCUUGUGCUGGCUGAGCUUUGUUGUUCGGCUGGUCGAGGCGGCGGGUUGAGGCCUAUCAGCGAACGCUUUUUGUUAGUAGCUUUUUUUUGCGACCGAGCGUUUGUGCCGACUAUUGAUGGAAUCGCUUUUGCAAGCAGGCCAGUUACCUGUAGCAUUGGCUUGAAUCCGGAMGCGGUUGGCGCGAGCUAGUAGUUUUGCAAAAGUUUUUUAAACCCUUUACUAAAUACUGAAAAACUGUGGGGACGAAAGUCUCUGCUUUUAACUAGAUAGCAACUUUCAGCAGUGGAUGUCUAGGCUCGCACAUCGAUGAAGAACGCUGCGAACUGCGAUACGUAAUGCGAAUUGCAGGAUUCAGUGAGUCAUCGAAAUUUUGAACGCAUAUUGCACUUCCGGGUUAUGCCUGGAAGUAUGCCUGUAUCAGUGUCCGUAAAUUAAACUUGCCUUUCUUCCUUCCAUGUAGUUGGCGGAUGGAAAUGUGCAGAUGUGAAGUGUCUUGUUAGUUCGCGCGGGCUUUAUGCUUUGCGACGGUCCACAAGUCCUUUUAAAACGAACGCUAUUCUCUCUUUGCUGGAAGGCAUUGCGGACUGUGAUUGUGGCAGCUGCUGCUCGGCACGUCGGCGACCGAUUUUCUGCUUCGGCAUAUGGAGGACUCCUUGAUUCGCGGUAUGUUAGGUUUCGGCCGGACAAUGCGCUUAUUGGGUUGAGACCUUCGCUGUUGCGGAUGUAUGAUUGGUGUACCGAUAGCCUUGAUGUGCUUGGCUGUUGAAUCGUG